GAAUUAGUCUUUCAGUGUUCUUCCAUAUUGGACAUCUUUAUUUGUGAAUGGGCUCUGUAAAUUUGCCAUGUAGAUGCAUAUAUUGUUGUAUGGAGACACAUUAAACCUUUUGACCUAUAUGCCGCCUUCUAUUUUUGACCCUGUAGAAAGAAUCAUGUAAAGUUGUACAGAAUUAUUUUUGGAUUGCUUUGAACCUAUGUUGUGCGAAAUGCCAACUUAAAAAUUCUAGGACACAAAUGUUAAAAUUAGAAUAAGAUUUGGUUUUUGGUGGUGACUCAUAAUACACCAUAUCAAAAUGUAUUCGUUGUAUCAAAAGCCUGCCCUCUGCACAAAGCUAUAUGUUGAAUUUAUAUAUUUAUAUAUAUGUUUCUUGUUUUGAGAAUAUCAAAAGUACCGUGUUGCCUGCAUAUUCAGGAUGAUGAUAUACAGAAAAUGGACAAGAUCCAAAUGGAAGUGGGAGGCAAAGAGCCAGCUAAGAUUGCUUGGGGUUCCAGCAGGAAGGCUAUCCCCACAGAGGUCUAACCACUCAAGUGUGCUCUAAGUCAGGAGGAUGGCUUCAAGGAGCUUCAUGAUUUGGAGAGUUCAUUUGCUUCGUUUCCUAUCAUAUCAUUGCAAGAACUUUAAGGUUGUUUUGAUAUUGGUGAAGAUGAUGAGGGUUCAAGUAGUCCUACGUCAGUUUCUUUUAAGACCAAGAAAGUGGAAGGAGUGAGAGUGGAAAUUCAGGGAAAACUAGCUCUUUACCUUAUCAUCCCAUUUCUAAGCAUAAAAAGUUUCUGAGUGUUUCAGUAAUACUCGAUAAUGGUUUUUCUCCUACGGAAGUUACACGUGAAGGAGACAGUGAAUUCUCUACAGCCAAAAAAUAAGCCGAGAGGAACUAUGGUGGCUCAUUGUUGUAUUGUAACAGGACUGAUGCAAGUAAUGUCAUCAGAGGAUACAUCAGGAGCAGUGGUCCAACACAAGGGAAGCUUUAAGGUUAUUUAAGCAAUCUGAGCCCCAAUGUAUAUUUGCAUUAGGGGGAAUUGAUUUUGAAGUGAUCCAUUAGUGUUGUGUUGCUUCCUAAAGAAACUCAAGGGUGAGAACACGUGCUUCCAUCGUAAACGGCCGCUUAGAGCUUGGUAAUGUCAUCUUAGAGAAAAUAUCUGCUGUCCUUUGAGUGUGGUCUUCAGAGGAGAUUGCCAGUCACCUUU